rnacentral:rRNA from 1 species
GACAGAGGGGCCGAGCGUUAGGCGGAAUCACUGGGCUUAAAGCGUGUGUAGGCGGAGUUCUAAGUACCUUGUGAAAUCCCACGGCUUAACCGUGGAACUGCUUGGUAUACUGGUUCUCUUGGGCCAUCUAGGGGCUACUGGAACAAACGGUGGAGCGGUGAAAUGCGUAGAUAUCGUUUGGAACGCCAAUGGUGAAAACAAGUAGCUGGGGAUGUGCCGACGCUGAGACACGAAAGCCAGGGGAGCGAACGGG